GACGAACGCUGGCGGCGUGCUUAACACAUGCAAGUCGAGCGGUAAGGCCCUUUGGGGGUACACGAGCGGCGAACGGGUGAGUAACACGUGAGUAAUCUGCCUUUGGCUUGGGAAUAACUUCGGGAAAUCGGGGCUAAUGCCUGAUGUUUACUGUCUGCUGCAUGGUGGGUGGUGGAAAGAUUUUUUGGCCAGGGAUGAGCUCGCGGUCUAUCAGCUUGUUGGUGGGGUAAUGGCUUACCAAGGCUUUGACGGGUAGCCGGCCUGAGAGGGUGUUCGGCCACACUGGGACUGAGACACGGCCCAGACUCCUACGGGAGGCAGCAGGUGGGGAAUAUUGCGCAAU
rnacentral:rRNA from 1 species